rnacentral:rRNA from 1 species
AUGCCUUACACAUGCAAGUCGAACGGCAGCACGGGGGCAACCCUGGUGGCGAGUGGCGAACGGGUGAGUAAUACAUCGGAACGUGCCCCGUAGCGGGGGAUAACCAGUCGAAAGACUGGCUAAUACCGCAUACGCUCUACGGAGGAAAGCAGGGGAUCGCAAGACCUUGCACUAUGGGAGCGGCCGAUGCCCGAUUAGCUAGUUGGUGAGGUAAAGGCUCACCAAGGCGACGAUCGGUAGCUGGUCUGAGAGGACGACCAGCCACACUGGGACUGAGACACGGCCCAG